AAGGAUGGGUUGGGCUUGGAAGAACAAGAGCUAAGGCGAUCAACGAGCAUCAAUCAACUUUACUCACCAAGCCAGCCAAUUUCACAAAAUCGCAAUGGUUUCCAAGAUCCUGAUCGUUUUCAUGGCCAUGCUGGUGGUCGCCAUGGCCUUCGAGUUCCAAGAGACCGACGAGGAUUUCGAUGUCGCGGAAUUCAUGAAGAGGGACCCCGUCAUGCAAGACUACCAGCUAGCUGUCAAGAGGGGACAGUCCAUGAAGAAAUACAAGCCAUGUGUUUCUCUACCGAACUGUUGGUGCAAUAGACGAGGAGGAAAGGUCGCUUUCUGCCCAGGCCAAGGAAACGGUAAUGGAAUCUAGACUAACCCGCUGAAUCUCACUGCCAACAAACCCGCCCAUCGACUGUUUAGGGAUGCACAAAUACGACACGAGAGAAGACUAGAAGCUGAUUUGACCAAUUACUGCGCAGUAUUAAAUGUGACGUCACAUCAUGUCAUCAGUGGUUCUAUCUGGAUCUAAGAAUAUUGGAUAGCUUGAAAUAAAUGGAUGUAUGUAGAAUUAUGCAAUGA